UACGUAGGAGACGAGCGUUGUCCGGAGUUACUGGGCGUAAAGGGUGCGCAGGCGGCCUUGCGCGUCGCGAGUGAAAUCUCCCGGCUUAACUGGGAGGGUGCGCUAUAGACUGUGGGGCUAGAGUGUGGGAGAGGAAAGUGGAAUUCCUGGUGUAGCGGUGAAAUGCGUAGAUAUCAGGAGGAACACCGGUGGUGUAAACGGCUUUCUGGACCAUAACUGACGCUGAGGCACGAAAGCGUGGGUAGCAAACAGG
rnacentral:rRNA from 1 species